rnacentral:rRNA from 1 species
UGGGGAAUUUUGCGCAAUGGGCGAAAGCCUGACGCAGCAACGCCGCGUGAGUGAUGAAGGUCUUCGGAUCGUAAAGCUCUUUCGGCCGGGACGAAAACGUCGGAGCGAACAGCUCCGGCCUUGACGGUACCGGAAGAAGAAGCACCGGCUAACUCUGUGCCAGCAGCCGCGGUAAUACAGAGGGUGCAAGCGUUGUUCGGAAUUAUUGGGCGUAAAGCGCGUGUAGGCGGCAAAGUGUGUCGGGUGUGAAAGCCCUCGGCUUAACCGAGGAAGUGCGCCCGAAACUGCUUAGCUCGAGUGCUGGAGAGGGUAGCGGAAUUCCCGGUGUAGAGGUGAAAUUCGUAGAUAUCGGGAGGAACACCAGUGGCGAAGGCGGCUACCUGGACGGACACUGACGCUGAGACGCGAAAGCGUGGGGAGCAAACAGG